rnacentral:rRNA from 1 species
AUUGAACGCUGGCGGCACGCCUAACACAUGCAAGUCGAGCGGUAGCAUGAUCUAUAGCAAUACAGAUUGAUGACGAGCGGCGGACGGGUGAGGAACACGUAGGAACUUGCCCAAUAGAGGGGGAUAACUAAGGGAAACUUAGCUAAUACCGCAUAUUCUCGAGAGAGGAAAGCUGCCCGCAAGGGUGGCGCUAUUGGAGAGGCCUGCGUCCGAUUAGCUAGUUGGUGAGGUAAAGGCUCACCAAGGCGAUGAUCGGUAACUGGUCUUAGAGGACGACCAGUCACACUGGGACUGAGACACGGCCCAGACUCCUACGGGAGGCAGCAGUGGGGAAUCUUGGACAAUGGGGGCAACCCUGAUCCAGCGAUGCCGCGUGAGUGAAGAAGGCCUUCGGGUCGUAAAGCUCUUUAGGUUGGGAGGAAGGUUAGUAUUUUAAGAGAUAACUAAUUUGACUGUACCGACAGAAUAAGCACCGGCAAACUCUGUGCCAGCCGCCGCGGUAAUAC